CCCUCCAUUAAAAGCCCAAAAAGCUCUGAAAUGAUGUUAGGUGACUUGUUGGUGAUGCUUGGGGAGUUCUUCGAAGUGGCGGGAAACUAAAGUAGUAUUUGGCGCCAAGGGAAACUCCAUUUUAUGUUUGAUAGGUUUUCCAAAUUCCAACUCAUUUGAGAACAAGCCCAAAAGAUCGAAUUAUUUGUUCAAAUUGUGGGGAAAAAAGGAAGUGAAAUCAAUGACUUCUUCACCGCCUCCAAAGCGAAGGCGAAAAGGGCAAACCGUUGACACAGAAUCACCGUCGAAAUCAGCGUUGACCCAAGACAAUUCAUCCCCUUUGAUAGUCUUCGCUCAUGGCGCUGGUGCUCCUUCCUCUUCUGAUUGGAUGAUCAGAUGGAAAGAAAUGCUAAAGAAGGCUUUGAAUGCUGUUGAAGUAGUGACAUUUGAUUACCCUUAUAUGUCUGAGGGAAAAAGAAGAUCUCCGCCCAAGGCAGAAAAAUUGGUAGAUUUUCACACAAAUGUUGUCAAAAAUGCAGUUUCUAAAUAUCCUGGGCAUCCUUUGAUUUUGGCUGGCAAAUCAAUGGGUUCAAGAAUCAGCUGCAUGGUGGCUGGAAGGGAAGACAUUUCUCCAUUGUUAAUUGUUUGCCUAGGAUACCCGCUUAAGGGUAUGAAUGGAGCAGUGAGAGAUGAAACUCUGCUUCAACUUAAAGUUCCUGUGAUGUUUGUGCAGGGUACCAAAGAUGGUCUCUGCCCCUUGGAAAAACUAGAAGCUGUUAGGAAGAAAAUGAAGACAAUGAGUGGGUUGCACGAGAUCGAGAGUGGUGAUCACUCGUUCAAGAUUUCAAAAAAGCACCUCCAAACCAAGGGAUCAACCCAAGAGGAAGCUGAAGAUGCAGCUGUUCAGGCCAUUGCAUCAUUUUUCACCAGGUCUCUGAGAUGAAGGUGAAUCAAAGCCGUAAUCCUUUUUUGUCUAAGUUUGUUUAAUGCCUUUAGCCUUUGUUUGUUCUAAGGAUUGCUAAGGCCCAAGGUUCAAAUGCUCCCUUUUUCCCUUGGCCCUCUACUAUUGGCGGAGCAAGUUGUUCUCAUUCUCAUCUACUAUAUCCUCACUACAGUGUUUAGAUGUGAACUGAGAAGCUUAUCAUUCUUGAGGUUUUUUUUAAAGACGGCUUAAUCAAUCCCCGAUAGGAACAACAACGAUAGUCACAACGGUGGAUGAAGGAACUGCAGGAGGAACGAUGGGGAUUGAGGCAGAGGGAAUGGUGGCGGCAAUUGAUUGUGGUAGCCAACAAAAUAGACGAACAACUGCAAAUUGGUCUGAACUUGAACGUGGAUUUGAAUAGUUUCUCAAUGGAUCGAGAGAGCUUCGACGGUGGCGGCGGAGGAGGAGCGCAGUGGACUAAAUGAGGCAUGGACAUUGUUCUGGAAUGGACUAUUGCUGAGUUGAGCUGCCGAUUGAAAGCGUUAAAUUCGAACGAGUCGUAAAGGGUGCUACCGCAAUCCCAUAUAAGAUUAUUGCCCUCUGAGUUUUGCUUUUUCUUUUGUUCGCGUUUUUCUUGGGAUUUCUCCAUUUUAUUUUCUCGGAAAACAGAACAAAAAAAGAAGUAGAUGACGAGAUUUUGUUUAAAUUUUUUUUUCUAUUACAAGAGCUUCUUAUGUUUGGUUUUCCAAUUGUCGGUACACUCGGUAUAAUAAAACGUGUAGGUUCUGAGUUACUACGUUCCAGAGAAA